UGGAGUUCAUCCACUCCGACGGACCUUUCUGCUCAAAAUAAAAGAUAUCCAUUUAAGAACCACCCACGAGUCGUCGUAAGCAAUCGGAAAAGGGUGUUCCGGAGCUCUCCUGUAAUCCACGGAGACCACGACGAUGUUUGCUGAAGCAGCUAAGGAGUUGAGGUAAUCGUGGUACGUAGGAGAGAAAGCGGUUUCGAUGCAGAAACUGCCUCCAUGGAAGUAAACAAGGAGGGGAAGCUUUUGGGAUGUGUUGAUUGCGGUUUUUGGGAUGUAGAGCCUUGCUGAUAAGCCUGUUUCGGCUGAAACGACUAUGUAUGUGGAUUCCACAUCGGUUUUCAGAUCGAGAGAUGGCGGAACGAUGUCAUUGCGUUUCAGUCGCUCAACUCGGCCAUCUUUGUAGACUUUGAUAAGAGGAGAUAAAUCUUGUGCUAUUUCGCUGCUCAUACCUUGGAAGAAGAAGUUGAGAGAAAAUAUGGAAAUGGAGGACUUUGUUUCAUGAAGAGUAUGAA